UACAGAGGUCUCAAGCGUUGUUCGGAUUCAUUGGGCGUAAAGGGUGCGUAGGCGGCGCGGUAAGUCGGGUGUGAAAUCUUGGAGCUUAACUCCGAAACUGCAUUCGAUACUGCCGUGCUUGAGGACUGGAGAGGAGACUGGAAUUUACGGUGUAGCGGUGAAAUGCGCAGAUAUCAGGAGGAACACCGGUGGCGAAGGCGGGUCUCUGGGCAGUAACUGACGCUGAGGAGCGAAAGCGUGGGGAGCGAACAGG
rnacentral:rRNA from 1 species